UACGUAGGGUGCAAGCGUUGUCCGGAAUUAUUGGGCGUAAAGAGCUCGUAGGCGGUCAGUCGCGUCUGCUGUGAAACUCGGGCGUUAACUCCGGGCCGUGCAGUGGGUACGGGCUGACUAGAGUGCGGUAGGGGAGACUGGAAUUCCUGGUGUAGCGGUGAAAUGCGCAGAUAUCUGGAGGAACACCGGUGGCGAAGGCGGCAUCCUGGACCGGCAUUGACGCUGAGGAGCGAAAGCCAGGGGAGCAAAGCGGG
rnacentral:rRNA from 1 species